rnacentral:rRNA from 1 species
UGAGGGACGAAGGUCUGUGGAUUGUAAACCUCUUUUGUCAGGGACGAUAAUGACGGUUCCUGACGAAUAAGCAUCGGCUAACUCCGUGCCAGCAGCCGCGGUAAGACGGAGGAUGCAAGCGUUAUCCGGAAUUAUUGGGCGUAAAGCGUACGCAGGUGGCCCAACAAGUCUUUUGUUAAAGCGUGAGGCUCAACCUCAUAAAGGCAAAAGAAACUGUAGAGCUAGAGUAUGGUAGGGGCAGGAGGAAUUCCCGGUGUAGCGGUGAAAUGCG